CCUACGGGAGGCAGCAGUGGGGAAUUUUGGACAAUGGGCGCAAGCCUGAUCCAGCAAUGCCGCGUGAGUGAAGAAGGCCUUCGGGUUGUAAAGCUCUUUUGUCAGGGAAGAAACGGUGGGGGCUAAUAUCCCCUGCUAAUGACGGUACCUGAAGAAUAAGCACCGGCUAACUACGUGCCAGCAGCCGCGGUAAUACGUAGGGUGCAAGCGUUAAUCGGAAUUACUGGGCGUAAAGCGUGCGCAGGCGGUUUUGUAAGUUUGUCGUGAAAUCCCCGGGCUCAACCUGGGAAUGGCGAUGAAGACUGCAAGGCUAGAAUCUGGCAGAGGGGGGUAGAAUUCCACGUGUAGCAGUGAAAUGCGUAGAGAUGUGGAGGAACACCGAUGGCGAAGGCAGCCCCCUGGGUCAAGAUUGACGCUCAUGCACGAAAGCGUGGGGAGCAAACAGGAUUAGAUACCCUGGUAGUCCACGCCCUAAACGAUGUCUACUAGUUGUCGGGUUUUAAUUAACUUGGUAACGCAGCUAACGCGUGAAGUAGACCGCCUGGGGAGUACGGUCGCAAGAUUAAAACUCAAAAUGAAAUUGAGG
rnacentral:rRNA from 1 species